UGGGGGAUUAGUGGCGAACGGGUGAGUAACACGUGAGUAACCUGCCCUUGACUCUGGGAUAAGCCUGGGAAACUGGGUCUAAUACCGGAUAUGACUCCUCAUCGCAUGGUGGGGGGUGGAAAGCUUUUGUGGUUUUGGAUGGACUCGCGGCCUAUCAGCUUGUUGGUGGGGUAAUGGCCUACCAAGGCGACGACGGGUAGCCGGCCUGAGAGGGUGACCGGCCACACUGGGACUGAGACACGGCCCAGACUCCUACGGGAGGCAGCAGUGGGGAAUAUUGCACAAUGGGCGAAAGCCUGAUGCAGCGACGCCGCGUGAGGGAUGACGGCCUUCGGGUUGUAAACCUCUUUCAGUAGGGAAGAAGCGAAAGUGACGGUACCUGCAGAAGAAGCGCCGGCUAACUACGUGCCAGCAGCCGCGGUAAUACGUAGGGCGCAAGCGUUAUCCGGAAUUAUUGGGCGUAAAGAGCUCGUAGGCGGUUUGUCGCGUCUGCUGUGAAAGACCGGGGCUCAACUCCGGUUCUGCAGUGGGUACGGGCAGACUAGAGUGCAGUAGGGGAGACUGGAAUUCCUGGUGUAGCGGUGAAAUGCGCAGAUAUCAGGAGGAACACCGAUGGCGAAGGCAGGUCUCUGGGCUGUAACUGACGCUGAGGAGCGAAAGCAUGGGGAGCGAACAGGAUUAGAUACCCUGGUAGUCCAUGCCGUAAACGUUGGGCACUAGGUGUGGGGGACAUUCCACGUUUUCCGCGCCGUAGCUAACGCAUUAAGUGCCCCGCCUGGGGAGUACGGCCGCAAGGCUAAAACUCAAAGGAAUUGACGGGGGCCCGCACAAGCGGCGGAGCAUGCGGAUUAAUUCGAUGCAACGCGAAGAACCUUACCAAGGCUUGACAUGAACCGGAAAGACCUGGAAACAGGUGCCCCGCUUGCGGUCGGUUUACAGGUGGUGCAUGGUUGUCGUCAGCUCGUGUCGUGAGAUGUUGGGUUAAGUCCCGCAACGAGCGCAACCCUCGUUCUAUGUUGCCAGCGCGUUAUGGCGGGGACUCAUAGGAGACUGCCGGGGUCAACUCGGAGGAAGGUGGGGACGACGUCAAAUCAUCAUGCCCCUUAUGUCUUGGGCUUCACGCAUGCUACAAUGGCCGGUACAAAGGGUUGCGAUACUGUGAGGUGGAGCUAAUCCCAAAAAGCCGGUCUCAGUUCGGAUUGGGGUCUGCAACUCGACCCCAUGAAGUCGGAGUCGCUAGUAAUCGCAGAUCAGCAACGCUGCGGUGAAUACGUUCCCGGGCCUUGUACACACCGCCCGUCAAGUCACGAAAGUUGGUAACACCC
rnacentral:rRNA from 1 species